GAUGAACGCUAGCGGCAGGCCUAACACAUGCAAGUCGAGGGGUAGAGUUCUUUGGGACUUGAGACCGGCGCACGGGUGCGUAACGCGUAUGCAAUCUACCUUAUACAGGGGAAUAGCCCAGAGAAAUUUGGAUUAAUGCCCCAUAGUGUUAUCGAAUCGCAUGGUUUGAUAACUAAAGUUCCAACGGUAUAAGAUGAGCAUGCGUCCCAUUAGUUAGUUGGUAAGGUAACGGCUUACCAAGACAAUGAUGGGUAGGGUCCUGAGAGGGAGAUCCCCCANACUGGUACUGAGACACGGACCAGACUCCUACGGGAGGCAGCAGUGAGGAAUAUUGGUCAAUGGGCGCAAGCCUGAACC
rnacentral:rRNA from 1 species